UUACCCUAACCUGUAAAGGAGGGGGACGCCGAAGGCAGGGCUGAUGACUGGGGUGAAGUCGUAACAAGGUAGCCGUACCGGAAGGUGUGGCUGGAUCACCUCCUUUUAAGGGAGACCGAACCUCUGAAAACCGAUGAAGUCGGUCACAGAAGGUCAUCCCAGGUCGUCGAGGUCGUGGAAACAACAGCUUUCAAACUAUUAACGGUUCGGGUUCAUGGGCUAUUAGCUCAGGUGGUUAGAGCGCACCCCUGAUAAGGGUGAGGUCCCUGGUUCGAGUCCAGGAUGGCCCACCUAAAAUCAAGUUGACGAAUUGACUUGAAGAUUAAGGGGGUAGAGCUUGAGUUGGGGAAGCAAUUACGAGUGGCUAACCUUCACCUAGAGCAAGCAAUCCAAAAACCAAAAUCGGAAAAGAAGCUAGCAUCGGCUCUGAAACCUCAAAAAAGCUCAGAGAGAAUGCUGGGAAUCUUAUUCCAGCCAAAGAACCUUGAAAACUGCAUAGUAACGUUAGAAAGCAGGAAAAACGAGACGUCCAAUCGUAGAAGGCGUCCGUAUCAUCCAAGCAAAAGUAGAAUGUGGUCAAGCUACAAAGAGCUUAUGGUGGAUACCUAGGCACACAGAG
rnacentral:misc_RNA from 1 species